rnacentral:sRNA from 1 species
CAAAAAGUCAAAAUUGUUGUAAUUAUAUUACAAUAAAGCAAAAGUGGCUUGGUCUGUUGUCUGCUUGCCAAAAUCCGAAGGGGGGCUAGGCCUUCGAAGAUUCACAGAGUGGAAUGUUACACUUAGUCUAAAGCUCAUCUGGCUCUUAUUCUCUAAUAGUAACUCUCUUUGGGUCGCUUGGCAUAGACAUUACUGGUUCAUAAAGAAAAGAUUGCAGGAUACUUGGAAUUGGAAGUGCCUCAUACGCCUAAGACCACUCGCAGAACGUUUUAUUAAGUGUUAUCUUGGUAAUGGGUUGAAUGCAAGUUUCUGGAGGGACAAUUGGUCUCCUUUUGGGCCACUGAUUAAGUUUCUAGGUGAAGAGGGUCCAAGGAGAUUGCGGAUCCCUGUGGUGUCCUCUGUUUCUAAAGCUAUUGUGGAAAAUAGUUGGAUUUUGCCAUCACCACGUUCUGAUGUUGAGCUUCAAUUACACACUUACUUAUCAACUAUUGCCCUUCCAUUGCAAACGGACUCGGCAGAUUCCUAUGGUUGGGUUGUUCAAAAUGUGGAUUGUAAUGGUUUUUCUUCCUCUAAAACAUGGGAGGUCCUGAGGAGAAGAGAAGACAAAAAGGAUUGGGCUCCUCUUAUCUGGUUUAAAGGUGCAACGCCUAGAAACUCAUUUCAUAUGUGGAUUUCAAAUCUCGAUAGGCUGCCUACUCGUGCGAGGUUGGUUUCUUGGGGUCUGCAGAUCUCACCUCUCUGUUGUUUAUGCUCUCAGUCUGUUGAGACCCGGGACCAUCUUAUUCUCACUUGUGGAUUCAGUUCUUCAAUCUGGAACAUGGUGCAGGCUAGGCUUAGGUUGCAGCCUGUUCAGUUCAGAGUUUGGGAAAGCUUACUAUCUUGGAUCAAGUUAAGUACGGCCUCCUCUCCUUCCAUCAUUAGGAAGCUUGUUGCUCAAGCCACUGUUUGUGCUAUUUGGAAGCAGAGAAACAACCUUUUGCAUAACUUACAAGACAUUCUACCGUCUAUCAUCUUCAAGAAUAUAGACCGUGAGAUCAUCAAUUCCAUCAACGCAAGGUGUCAUCGGAGAAAGUUUAGAUCGCUUAUGAGAUUGUGGAUCAGAUAGUUCUGUCUUUUGGUUAUUAUAAUUGUUUGCUUCCUUGUUUUUUCUUUCUUUUUGCCAAGGAACCAAAGCUUUAGGUAAUCAAAAAUAUAAAUCCAACUCUAUUUCAUUUUAUAUGAUAUUUACUCACUUAGCAAAA